AAGUUCCAGGGCCAGGGAUCGAACCUACACCUCAGCAGCAACCCAAGCCACUGCGGAGACAAUGCCAGAUCCUUAACCCACUGCACCACAGUGGGAACUCCAUUUUUAGUUAAUUUUUAUAUAGCGGGUGAGGUAAGGAUCCAGUUUCAUUCUUGUGCACAUGGAAGUCCAGGUUUCCCAGCACCAUUUGUUGAAGAUUCUUCCCCUAUUUAAUGAAUUUAGCACCCUUGUCCAAAAGCAAUUGGCCUUCAAGGUAUGGAUUUAUUUUCGGACCCCCUCAUCUAUUCAAUUGGUCUGUCCUUAUGCCAGUACCAUGCUGCUUAGAUUACUGUGGACUGUUGUUUUGUAGUAAGUUUUGAAAUCAGGAAUACUGCCAUCUUACUAAUAUUAAGGGUUCCACUUCAAGAACACAAGAUUGAGGCAAGAGAAGGGAACAUUAUCAGAACCACUGCCUGGGGGACCAGGAAUGAGCUCUGAUGGUCAUGCUUACCAGGAAUCAAAGAGCAAGUAGAAGCAGGAACAAAGACUGACAAGAGUCCCUCAUCUGUUCCUUAUUCCGCAAGAAGCAGAAGAAGUCAGAUGGACGGAGGACCACUGGUUAACAAGAAUCCUUUGUGCAUUCUUUCAUUCCAUAGCAUUUCCUGGACACCUACACUAUGCCACAUUCCAUGCUAGGCCCUGAGGUCCAAAGACAAAUAAGAUACUUUCUCGAGAACCUUAAGUCAAGUGGGGUGUAUGAUAGGAUCUUUCAGGUUAUAGUAAACACUCACUGAAAUGAACUUAAGAAAUGAGGGGGGUUCAUUAUGAGAAUUCAAAAGUCUCUCUUCGAGUGUAGGAAAGGCAGCCAGGCCUCAGAAAACGAGAGGAACCCAGAACUAGGAGCCUUCCAUCACCAUAUCUCACCGCUGUGUCUUCCUGAACAUAGGGCUUCCCUGCUCUUCCCAUCUGCAUGAUAGGAAGCAUGGCCAGUGGUAGUAACCAUAUUUCCAUACUAGUCCCACUCUCUCUAGCCCAAUUCCAAAUCCUAGAAGAGCCAUUUGAGGACAAGCAUUCACCCAUAAUAUCUUCAACUACAGCCUAAAUAAAGAACAAUAAUUUGUCUGUAUCAGCUAUCUUCUCCUGGUCCAAGUAAUUGUAACCGGGGAGACACAAUCACAGAGCACAGGAAGCUGCCAGGAGCCCAUCAUGGCUAUUGUUUGGAUUCGAGGGACAAAGCAGCAAAAAACAAAGAGGUGCCCGCUAUGGUGAGUGAGAAGCCUCAGAAGAUGAUCAGUCACACAGUGAGCUAAAGGUUGGUGGUGAGCAGAGGCCCCAGGACCACACAGGAGGGACCCCAACAUCCACAUGGGAACAGAGAAGGGGACAAGCUUGAGCUAGAUUUCUGUUUGUUUGUUUGCUUGAUUUUCUAAAGCUAAAUCCAAGAAAGACAGUCCCAGCAAAGUGGAGAAGGGAACUCAGGAUCUGAGUCCAGGGAGCCAGCAAGAUUCACAGUUCAAGUUCACACAGCUAGGAACUUGAAGGCUGAUGAGACCAAGUCCAUCCACUUCCAAAGCACAUGCUCCUUCCGCACCUCACAACUGUGGCUCUUUGGGCAAAAAAAUGUUUUGCCAGUCUAAGCAAGUAUGAAAAAAAGCCCAUAAAGUUAUCCAUCUGUUUGUGUGCUGAUAUAAUGACUUGUUUUUGUAAAGUUUCUGAGAGGCAUAUCAAAUAUAUAAUUUUCAAUAAUUAGUUAUUAAACAUUUACCCUAAGGUUUUCAACUAUGCUACUGCAAUUUAUCUGCAAUAACCCUUUACGAUAGGUGGUAGUAUUAUCUCCAUUUUUUGGAUGAAAAAACUGGGAUUUAGAGAUACUUUAAUUGCACAAUGUGAUACAGCUAGUAAGUGGUAAAGCUGGAAUUCAAGUCAGGACUGAGGCUUAAACCCUUAACUGUUAGGCUAAAUAGCUAAGAGGUCAAGGUAAAGGCAAAACAUGAUUAAGAGACUAUAGCCCGAUUAUCCCCUAGAAUUAUAUUCUAUAUUAUUCUGAUUGGAAGCCAGGAAUGAGCCAAACAUAUUAAAGAUUCCUAGAGACAAAGCAAAAAAGUAGAAUCUAAUCAAUAAGAGUCUCAAUAUCCUUAAGCUAAAAACAAAUUCAAGACAGCCCCAAUUUUUUCUGUACUGUGAAUUUUACCCAUGAGUCUUCACAAAGCGCAUAAUACUGUGUAAUGUCAUGGGCAAUGUCCCCACCACAUCUUCACAGUAAAUACAAUGGCGAGUCUUAGACCUUACACACUUGCAAUUAACACAGUUAAUCACAGUCAGGUCAGCAUAAAACAAAAGAAUGUAGGAGUUUAAGAAGUUUUGUGGGAGUGUGUGUGUGUGUGUGUGUGUGUGUGUGUGUGUGUGUGUGUGCCGUACUUGCUUCAGGGAGUCCUCUGUACAUAUUUCAAAGCAGUUAUCCAGGAAGCCUAGUUGUGAUUUCUGAGAUAGACCGUAAUGCCCAUAGUUUUCUGUUACUGAUUAAAAGUAGAGCCCAGGAGUUCUUCCACAGUGGGUUAACAAUCUGACUGCAGUGGCUCAGGUCACACUGGAAGCACAGGUUCGGACCCUAGCCCGAUGCAGUAGGUUAAAAAAUACAGAUAGGUCGCAGCUGCAGCUUGGAUUCAAUCCCUGGCCCAGGAACUUCCAUGUGCUGCAGGUGCAGCCAUAAACGGACAAACAAGCAAACACACAGAGCUCUAGAGAGAGAGAGGGGUUAAAAUGAAGGAACUAAGAAAGGUUUACCAGCAUGAUUGGUCAUCCUAUCUACAUGGAAUAAUUUGGAUUUAAUCAAUUUAAUCUCAUAAAUAUUACUUUAAAAUGUGGCUAAGCAAAUAUGUGAAAUACAAAUUUAUAUGCUAAUGCCAUUUUGUGUCCUCUCAAUUGUCUUGAAAAUAAAAACAGCGGUUCUUACUGUUCAAUUCUAAAUAGAAAAUCAUUUUAGUAAUUUUAAUAAUCUAAUAAACAAUGACUAAUGUACGCAAUCAGAGAUAUAGACAGAAGCAAAUGAAGCGGCACCCUUUAAAGCACAGGUUUGAUUGUGCAAUAAAGAAUCAUUGUCUGAAAGAUUUCCUCUCUUCUUUACAAUGGAAAUAAAGUGCCUUAUAAAUAAAGUAUUAAGUAUUGAAAGAAAGCAAUGAGAACAAAAGAAACUUGGAAUGAAGUAGAACUGGUAAGGAAGACAUAUUAGUAGAAAGUACCUCAAAAUAUAUGAAGACGUCAAAUAAAAUAUUUCUUGGAAUGUCAACCGGGUAGUAUUCAGCAUACAGCUUAAAACUGAGAACAAAAUAUUCUGAUGUUUCCAUUUAAGUCAGGAAAAAAAUGAAAAACUGAUGUGGCUAUUACCAUGAAGUGAAUAAUUCACAAUAUGGCUCAUCAAAAAGUAUUCCUGGGUUUCAACAUAAAAGAAAACCAUUAAAUUCACUUGAGAAUCAUCUGUGGUAGUUUUUGCUCAUGAAAUGGUUUUCAUAUCCAGACUGAAGUUAAUGGUGGCUAAGAUGCAAAGGCUCUGCGAGACAUGUAUGGAGUAUGAAUCUUCAUGAGAGAAAAGUGGGGUGAUGAUUAGUGAAAAUGGGCCAAUGUCUUCAUGUCACCAAUGGCAGAAACCACCAAAAGUUCACUAAGAAAACUGUGGACCUGCAUCAGCUUUUUAAAUAUCUUUACUGCUGUGACAUACAGUAAAGAAGCAAUAUAUUGAUGUUUAAAUUAGGAUGCAUAUUUUAGGCAAAUUCCUUCAUUUUAGUUUUAACUAGACUUAAAAUAAAUGAGCAAAAUGCUUUCUUUGUCUCAUAACCUCAUUCACGUAUGCAAUCAUAGCUGAGUGGUACAUUUCUCCCUAUCCCAUCCCUGGAGUGUAGGCCCCACAAGGGCCGACCUGUCUAUUUAUUUCACUGUUGUACCCCCAGCACCUAGAACAGUAGGGCACAUAAUCACUACUCAAGAAGCAUCUGUUAAAAGCAUGAAUGCAUUCUUUUGAAUGUAUGAGUGUCAUUUAGGCACAGAAGUAAAUGCCUCCAAACUUGGAAAUAAUGUUGCCCUCUGGGGAUAAGAGUAAUAAUAAGAUAUACUGAAAGAGCUUAGCUAUCUGUAAAAAUAGCCCCAAAGAUUGCCUAUGCAUGUGAGAAUGAGAUUUGGGACUUACAAUCAAGAUAUGGGGCAUAGUAUUAGGGAGCUGUGAUAUAAUGUGAUUGUAACCAAGAAAAUAAAAGACUAAUUUAUUCAUAUGUUGUUGGGAAAACUAAGUGACAGAAUGGGAUCUGAGAAAUAGGGGAUCAAUGAUUAAGAAUUCCUAACUUCUCUGAUUCCCUUACCAGUAAGAAAGUAAACUCAUGAGGGUAGAGACUUUUUUCUGAUUUGGAUAAAUGGAGACGGGGAUGGGUAGAUGGAGGGUAGAUGGAUGCAGGGGGUGGGUAAAGGUGUGGAUAGAGGGAUGGAGGGAUGGCUGAUUGGAUGAGGAAUAGAUGGAUGGAGGGAGGGAUGGACAGAUGAUUGAUUCAUUCAUUCAUUUAUUCACAUAUUAAAGAAUUGCCCAUGCCAAUCCAAAUGUUAAGUCUUAGACUCACUGUGUCUCAGGCCUCCUGUGGAUUUGGUCCCCACACCUGCAUCUCUACCAGCUCCACCAGCACUGGAGGAGAGGUGCAGCGGCUGGAAGGCUGAGCAUGGCUUUGCCUUGCUGCCAGAGAAAGGGUGGCAUGAGGACGUGAGUGAACUGUGACACGGCUCUGCUGGGACAGACACACACUCAAAGGCAGCACCCAGCUUUUCUGGUCACCUGCUGACCCCAGGGUAUUUGCCUGUCUGUGUGGCUGCACUCCAGGCAGCAGGAACAAGAAUCAAAUCCCCCUCCUUUCAGAGAAUGGCCCCGCAGCCACACACACAACCUGAGCUCACACCCCACUAGCCGCGUGACUCACUAGGCAGGAGGGAAGACACAGCCUUUAUGCUCAGUGGCCACAUCCUGGUAGAACCCUUCCUCUACAAAGGGAGGACAGACACUGAAGGACAGGGGGAGGAACCAAGCGCUGGUGUGCUGGGAUCAUUUGUUUUUUGUUUUUGU
ensembl:lncRNA